AGAGUUUGAUCCUGGCUCAGAACGAACGCUGGCGGCAGGCCUAACACAUGCAAGUCGAGCGCAGUCCUUCGGGACCGAGCGGCGGACGGGUUAGUAACGCGUGGGAAUAUGCCCUUUUCUACGGAAUAGCCAUUGGAAACGAUGAUUAAUACCGUAUACGCCCUUCGGGGGAAAGAUUUAUCGGAGAAGGAUUAGCCCGCGUUAGAUUAGAUAGUUGGUGGGGUAAUGGCCUACCAAGUCUACGAUCUAUAGCUGGUUUGAGAGGAUGAUCAGCAACACUGGAACUGAGACACGGUCCAGACUCCUACGGGAGGCAGCAGUGGGGAAUCUUGGACAAUGGGCGCAAGCCUGAUCCAGCCAUGCCGCGUGAGUGAUGAAGGCCCUAGGGUCGUAAAGCUCUUUCGCUAGGGAGGAUAAUGACGGUACCUAGUAA
rnacentral:rRNA from 1 species